rnacentral:lncRNA from 1 species
CUUUUUUCAUAUGAAUCUAUAUUGCAAAGCAGAGGGAACUCUGCCUCGCCUGCACAACAGGCUGCUUCCAGAUGGGUGACUUGUGUAACACUGUAUGAGACACUAAGCUGAGGUUCCAGGCUUGCAGAGGAAAUACAAGAAUAAACCGAGACCAAGAGAGGAGAGGAAGUGUGAGGGUAGCUGAGAACAUCCGCUCUAUUGCUGAGAUCCUCAGCCCUUUGUUGCUUCCUGACUCUUACAGCUGACAGGGGCAGAAGAUGGGGAAAUGCGACAGACUCCAUCAAAGUCACACACUGCUAAUUGCUUAAGCAAGUUCUCUCUUUCUCGUUGAUAACAGCACAAGAAUAGUGCAAGUCUUCUACAGUAUGAGCCAGAGCCAUUGCUCACACCAGCUGAGCAGGAGCUGAGUCCAUCCACCAUCUUGGCAGGACUGGGGGGGUGAAGAACAUGGAACAUAAAAUGAAUGAAAGUGACACACAUCAACAGUGUGUUUCUGGACAGCGUCACUCUGGUGAAGGCACAUCCCAGUUAUUGAUGCAUAAAGAGAGGUGGGCCUGGACAGAGACCAAAUCUAAGCUGUAAUCAGC